rnacentral:rRNA from 1 species
ACUGUCCCGCAGACCGACCCGUGAACUAGUUGUGUACACAAACAUCGCGGGGGGGCGAGGGUGCGUACGUGCCCCGAGCCCCCUCGGUGCCCUGGCGUUCGCGACCUCGACCCGUCAGGCCUUCGUGGCGGGCGGGAUGCGUGGUCGCGUCGCUUGCGGCAGAACCAACGAACCCCCGGCGCGAGUCGCGCCAAGGAAACGGAAUGACGAGGAGCACGUCCGCUGCCCCCGCCCCGCCCGCGGUGCGCGUGCGGGCAGCGGCGUGUCUCCUCCGUCGUGAAAAUUAAGAAACGACUCUCGGCAACGGAUAUCUCGGCUCUCGCAUCGAUGAAGAACGUAGCGAAAUGCGAUACUUGGUGUGAAUUGCAGAAUCCCGUGAACCAUCGAGUCUUUGAACGCAAGUUGCGCCCCGAGCCAUUAGGCUGAGGGCACGCCUGCCUGGGUGUCACGCAUCGUCGCCCCCUCCAAUCCCUUAGCCCCUCGGGGCGGGGACGAGGUGGGGGCGGAAAAUGGCCUCCCGUGCGCUCCCCGCUCGCGGUUGGCCUAAAAUCGGGUCCCGGGCGGCGACAGCGUCGCGACGAUCGGUGGUGCUGCCUCGGGCGCGCCUCGUUCGCGGUCGCGCGCGCUUUCGCUCGGCCGGACCCAUCGAGACCCUACUCGCGUCGCACGAGCGAUGCUCGCAUCGCGACCCCAGGUCAGGCGGGACCACCC